rnacentral:lncRNA from 1 species
CUGCCAUUCUGGAUGGCUGCAAGCUUGGUUGGCCUGCUGCUGCUGUUUCCUAGAGUUCUGAAGAGCACAACCUU